CAGCAGGGUCUGUACAGCAUGAAAGGAAGGAGAAGUACUGUGCAGAAGUACAAGCGAGAUUUCUACUUUUUACUCCACUACUUUUAUCUGACAGCUACGGUUGCUUUGAUUUUACAUGAAGGAUUUGAUCACAUUAUUAUAAAGACUGCAGGUCUGGCACUGCAUUCCCACACUGGCAUCACCCUGAAUCUCUGUGAAGACAUGCUGGGAUUUAAACGAAGUCACCAAACCCUGUGAUGAUGACCCUGAUUGAUGAGCAGCCAAGUCCUGUGUGUGUGUGUGUGUGUGUGUGUGUGUGUGUUUUCCCACACAGCCCUGAGACAAAACAUCUCAUCAGGUAACGUCUGGGCAGGUGGAGCUCCUCAACCAGCUGCAGUAACACACUGAAUACAUUUUGAAGACACAACGAUGAAAAUCCGCUAAUGCAGUGAAGUUACCGUGGAGACCCACAAGUCAGACAGUAAAAUUGAGGGUCAAACCACCAUCACAUACUGUGACAAAGUAAGAAGCAGGAGCAGCUGGUCCACACCCAGGGAGUUAAUAUGGAAUAUUCCUGCUCCUCUUCAAAAACAUUGGAUGAUUUCAUGUUUUCCAGUAAAUCUGGAUGGAAGAUCUUCAGCCCACGUCAGGUCACACAGAGGACACAGGAAGUGAAGAGCGGAUCCAGUCUUCUGUCCAUCUCAGCUUCUAUCCAGACUCUGUUGUCGGGUUUUGUCUC